CGUUGAAACACCAGUUCCCAUACGAUCACCGAAGUUAAACAACGGCGACCCUGUUCAGUGCCUGGAUGGGUGACCAGGUGGUGACUAGGUGCUGUCAG